rnacentral:rRNA from 2 species
AGGUGCUAUCAUACCAGCACUAAUGCACCGAAUCCACUCAGAACUCCGCUGUUUAGCCUGCUUGGGCAAGAGUAGUACUAGGAUGGGUGACCUCUUGGGAAGUAGUGGUGUUGCACCUC